GUAACAAGGUUUCCGUAGGUGAACCUGCGGAAGGAUCAUUAUCGAGUUAGGGUCUCCGGCCCGACCUCCAACCCUGUGUCUACUUAACCACGUUGCUUCGGCGGGCCCGCCCCUCUCGGGGGGCCGCCGGGGGUCGACUUUCGACCUCUGGCCCGCGUCCGCCGGUGGCCUACACACAAACUCUGAUUACAAACCGUGUCGUCUGAGUUCAAACAAAAAUUAAAACAAAACUUUCAACAACGGAUCUCUUGGUUCUGGCAUCGAUGAAGAACGCAGCGAAAUGCGAUAAGUAAUGCGAAUUGCAGAAUUUCUAGUGAGUCAUCGAAUCUUUGAACGCACAUUGCGCCCUUUGGUAUUCCGAAGGGCAUGCCUGUUCGAGCGUCAUUAUCAACCCUCAAGCCUGGCUUGUUGUUGGACCUCAGGUCGCCGCUCCGGUGGACCGGUCUCAAAGACAAUGACGGCGUCCGUGGGACCCUCGGUGCAAUGAGCUUCUUCCAAAGCACGCAUCAGAGUGGGCUCGCGGGGGCCGUCUCCCCGUCAUAUUUUAUCAAGGUUGACCUCGGAUCAGGUAGGAAUACCCGCUGAACUUAAGCAUAUCA
rnacentral:misc_RNA from 1 species